rnacentral:lncRNA from 1 species
CUUUAGCUUCUUGUGGGUUCCACGUUACCCUAUCUUCUCUUUGACGUCCUGAGGUCCUCCCACAUGACGUUCCCUUCUCACCAUCUCUCUGGCUGUUAUUCCUUCCAGUUUCUUCCUUGCUAUACACCCAGGUGGUGUUCUACCUCCCUGGUGAUUACCCUAAUUUCAUGAUAAGGUUGGUGAGAUGAAGGCGAUUCGCUUAAGCUGAGUGUGGUCAUUGCCAUUCGAGAGAAGGCUUCCUUUCCCUUGGGUUCUCCAAGUGCUCUGAGGUGGAGUGCCUCUUGCUUUACAGAUGAUCGUGUUCUGGCUUUUAGGGGAAGCAUUCAGACUCCAAAGCUGUUGCAUGAGAUGAGUUCCUUCUUUGUUGACUGUGUAAACACUGUGUACACUGAUGUCAAGCGUAUUCUUGAAACGAGCCAGUCUGCUUUGCUUGACCCUAUUCCCAAGGGAUAUUGGUAAUAGUUUUGCGUGACAAUGUGGGAUUUUUCCUUUUAAACAAUCAUGAUUACUCUCCUUUCUUUUUUAUUUUAAUUCGUUUAAUAAUUACUCCAACACAUUUCUCUUACACAUACACUUUUCCGUCAAUCAAAUAAACGUGACUGACAAUAUAUUUCCGGCGUCAAUGGCUGUUUUCUAAGAUAACCCUACAUCAUUUCUGAGAGCCUAGUGCAAGAACUACAAAAUCCUCAUGUCCCAACGUAUCACGUUACAACCCUGAAACUGUAGUGAGGUUUUCAGGUGGCAUUCAUUAACUUGAGCAAUUGCAUUUCUUUGGAAAUGGACGUUACUUAGGUAGCUUUUAGACACAAAUACUGGCAAACUAAGAUAUUACCUGCAUUUCCCUUAUGAUGCUAAGAAAUCUUGUUUAGAAAUACAUGCAUGAUUGUGUGUUUUCUCUCAGCUAGGAUGAUGGCUCAGUUCAAGGAUGAUUGGAGGAGAGAACAGUUGCUGAAUGAUGAUCUUCAAAAGAAAUUCGGUAAGUAUCUCUGACGACCUCUUUGUUUCCACAGCCUGUAUUAAACAUUCAGGUUUUUGGUUCUUUCGGCAUCCCCUCUCUUCUUACCUAUAUGCCAUCUUUUGGCUCACAUGUCAUCUCCAUGUCUUCCCUCUCCUCCCUCAAGGUUUCUGUUUAUGGACAUCUCCCAUCCUAAGUUCUCUCCG